CAGUCAGGAAGCCUCGCAGGGCGGAGCCAUCCGAAUUGUAAACAAUGGUGGCCGACCUCCUCCGUUUCCCGAGGAACCCAGAGGGCGAGCCGCCUGAUCCCGACCUAAGGGUCCAGCGAGGACUCGGGACCCCGAACUCACCCAGCUGGCGAGGGAGAAGACACCCAGCACAGCCCCCAUGGUGACGCCAGUGAUGGAGGUGGCCGGUCCUGAGGCUGCUAUCUAAUGCGGUGAAAUGGAAUGAGGCUCAAAGUGUGCCCAAGGCCAUGAAAAGUGUUGAUGAAAGAAGAAAGAAAACUACUCACAUUUAAUAAUUCCUACCUCUCUUUUCCCAGAUCCCUCUCCUCACCGCACAUACACAAAUACCAGUUCAAGUCAGGUUGCUUCAGGACCACUGCACUUUCCAGGGAGCCCUUAACAUUCUUGCUUCUUUCUGUCUGAGUAUUGUUGGUCUGGACUUAAGAGAGCUAAGACAGUGAUAAAUUUUAUAGAUCAAAUUCUACCAGAAACAUACCUGUAGUCAAAAAGAAUUAGGUUUAUUUAGCUUGUUCAGAAAGGGAGAACACAUACCAAAGAAAACAUAGGGUACCUUGGUAAGAGGUAACUGGGGAUAACUUAUUUUAGGAUUUGGGUUUAUGCUGGGUAACUAAAUCUAAGGAGAGUUUAAGGAAGUGGAGAACAGUUUUGGAUUGGACACAGUCAAGGAGUAGAGGCAAUUCAGUGAUUAGUUAUCUUACACAUUUUUAUCCGGGAGGUAGAAGGAUUAAAACAAGGCUAGAUUUGUUCUUGGAAAAGAAGCAAAACCCACUCAUAUUAGUCAGAAUUGGAAGAUGUUGAGUCCUAUUUGUGGUACCAGAGUGGUGGCUUUGUCUGUGUCUUGUUCCAACUACAUGGUGGUCUUGUCUGAUCUUUGUUUAUAUUCUGUGAUCACUGUUUAUGUUCCAUUAGAAACAUUAGGUCUACCUGUCAGCUGAACAGUUUUUCACUUUCUAACCUGCAAGCAUUUGUCCUCCCAAAUGUAGGAUCCCACCCAUCUCUUAGUGUUUCUGGCCCUAACUGGUUGAGUGUGUCACCUCCACUUGGCCAAAGGGAGGAGAGCAGAUCUUCGAGAUCAUCUACUCCAAUCUCCCACCUCAGGCAGGAACCCCUCAGCAACAUCUCUUCUAGGGUAGGGGACUCACUGCCACCCAAGGCAGCUCCUCCCAUCUUUACAUAUCCGUUGUCAAACCUCUCAGGCCUCUGAGCCCAAGCUAAGCCAUCAUAUCCCCUGUGACCUGCACGUACACAUCCAGAUGGCAGGUUCCUGCCUUAACUGAUGACAUUCUACCACAAAAGUGAAAAUGGCCUGUUCCUGCCUUAACUGAUGACAUUACCUUGUGAAAUUCCUUCUCCUGGCUCAUCCUGGCUCAAAAGCUCCCCUGCUGAGCACCUUGUGACCCUGCCCCUGCCCGCUAGAGAACAACCCUCUUUGACUGUAAUUUUCCUUUACCUACCUACCCAAAUCCUAUAAAACGGCCCCACCCCUAUCUCCCUUCACUGAAUCUCUUUUCGGACGCAGCCCGCCUGCACCCAA